AUGGGACACGUGAUUGCUAAUAGCUUGGUUCUGACUGGCACUGGAACUUCAGUGCAGUUAGACAAAGAGCUGGACAGUGCGAUGAAAAAGAUGAUGGCUCUCUCAGAAUCGCAACCAUUAACUGAGAGGGAGAAGCUCACGUUUCUGCACUAGACACGUUUGCCAGUGGCUUGUAAUGUGUGGGAUUAAAUUCUACGGACCAUCCAACUGACAUGCUAGCGCUCAAAUUUGCCCAUGCCACUUACUUUUACAUGGGAUGUCAAACACAGAUGCGAGACUCUGUUGCCUGUGUUUAUCCUUACUGGACACCUGAUAUUCCUCUGAGUAGGCUUUAGCUAUAAACUGGUCAGAUGAAUGGUCUGUCCAUACCACAGCACACAUAAAUGAAAUGAAAGCAGACCUGAAGAAUGGGUUGACAUUUAUGAAGCAAACUGAAAACAACUGGAAGUAAAUAAAUGAAGACUCGGCACACCACUUCUGAAAGGUUGCCGACUCCUGUACUAUAAUA